rnacentral:tRNA from 1 species
GGAAGUGUGCCCGAAUAUCCAAGGGCCACUUUGAUAGAGUGGAUUAUAGAGGUUCAAGUCCUCUCACUUCCU